CAAUAGCGUAUAUUAACGUUGUUGCAGUUAAAAAGCUCGUAGUUGGAUUUCUGGAGGGAGCGUCGGCCCGUAUUUACGAGUGCGUGACGUCUCUGUCCAUCCUUGCGGGAAGGCACGGCAUUGAUUUGUUGUGUCGGAUCGCAUCAUUUACUGUGAAAAAAUUAGAGUGUUCAAAGCAGGCUUUCGCUUGAAUACAUUAGCAUGGAAUAAUAAGAUAGGACUUUGGUGCUAUUUUGUUGGUUGAGCCUAAAGUAAUGGUUAAUAGGGAUAGUUGGGGGCACCUGUAUUGCGUUGUCAGAGGUGAAAUUCUUGGAUUUACGCAAGACAAACAGCUGCGAAAGCGUCUGCCAAGGAUGUUUUCAUUAA
rnacentral:rRNA from 1 species